AGAGUUUGAUCAUGGCUCAGAUUGAACGCUGGCGGCAGGCCUAACACAUGCAAGUCGAGCGGAUGAGUGGAGCUUGCUCCAUGAUUCAGCGGCGGACGGGUGAGUAAUGCCUAGGAAUCUGCCUGGUAGUGGGGGACAACGUUUCGAAAGGAACGCUAAUACCGCAUACGUCCUACGGGAGAAAGCAGGGGACCUUCGGGCCUUGCGCUAUCAGAUGAGCCUAGGUCGGAUUAGCUAGUUGGUGAGGUAAAGGCACACCAAGGCGACGAUCCGUAACUGGUCUGAGAGGAUGAUCAGUCACACUGGAACUGAGACACGGUCCAGACUCCUACGGGAGGCAGCAGUGGGGAAUAUUGGACAAUGGGCGAAAGCCUGAUCCAGCCAUGCCGCGUGUGUGAAGAAGGUUUUCGGAUUGUAAAGCACUUUAAGUUGGGAGGAAGGGCAGUAAGCUAAUACCUUGCUGUUUUGACGUUACCGACAGAAUAAGCACCGGCUAACUUCGUGCCAGCAGCCGCGGUAAUACGAAGGGUGCAAGCGUUAAUCGGAAUUACUGGGCGUAAAGCGCGCGUAGGUGGUUCAGCAAGUUGGAUGUGAAAGCCCCGGGCUCAACCUGGGAACUGCAUCCAAAACUACUGAGCUAGAGUACGGUAGAGGGUGGUGGAAUUUCCUGUGUAGCGGUGAAAUGCGUAGAUAUAGGAAGGAACACCAGUGGCGAAGGCGACCACCUGGACUGAUACUGACACUGAGGUGCGAAAGCGUGGGGAGCAAACAGGAUUAGAUACCCCGGUAGUCC
rnacentral:rRNA from 1 species